rnacentral:rRNA from 1 species
UACGGAGGAUCCAAGCGUUAUCCGGAAUUACUGGGCGUAAAGAGUUGCGUAGGUGGCAUGGUAAGUUGAUAGUGAAAGCGUCCGGCUCAACCGGAUACACAUUAUCAAAACUGCCAAGCUAGAGGAUGAGAGAGGUUAUUGGAAUUCCUAGUGUAGGAGUGAAAUCCGUAGAUAUUAGGAGGAACACCGAUGGCGUAGGCAGAUAACUGGCUCAUUCCUGACACUAAGGCACGAAAGCGUGGGGAGCGAACGGG